rnacentral:rRNA from 1 species
GACGAACGCUGGCGGCGUGCCUAAUACAUGCAAGUAGAACGCUGAAGGAGGAGCUUGCUUCUCUGGAUGAGUUGCGAACGGGUGAGUAACGCGUAGGUAACCUGCCUGGUAGCGGGGGAUAACUAUUGGAAACGAUAGCUAAUACCGCAUAAGAGUAGAUGUUGCAUGACAUUUACUUAAAAGGUGCAAUUGCAUCACUACCAUAUGGACCUGCGUUGUAUUAGCUAGUUGGUGAGGUAACGGCUCACCAAGGCAACGAUACAUAGCCGACCUGAGAGGGUGAUAGGCCACACUGGGACUGAGACACGGCCCAGAAUCCUACGGGAGGCAGCAGUAGGGAAUCUUCGGCAAUGGACGGAAGUCUGAACGAGCAACGCCGCGUGAGUGAAGAAGGUUUUCGGAUCGUAAAGCUCUGUUGUAAGAGAAGAACGAGUGUGAGAGUGGAAAGUUCACACUGUGACGGUAUCUUACCAGAAAGGGACGGCUAACUACGUG